UACGGGGGGGCAAGCGUUGUUCGGAAUUACUGGGCGUAAAGGGCUCGUAGGCGGCCAACUAAGUCAGACGUGAAAUCCCUCGGCUUAACCGGGGAACUGCGUCUGAUACUGGAUGGCUUGAGGUUGGGAGAGGGAUGCGGAAUUCCAGGUGUAGCGGUGAAAUGCGUAGAUAUCUGGAGGAACACCGGUGGCGAAGGCGGCAUCCUGGACCAAUUCUGACGCUGAGGAGCGAAAGCCAGGGAGGCAAACGGG
rnacentral:rRNA from 1 species